GCAGAGGGAUAGACGACCGCCGCACAAUGGGCCGCAUCGCGACUCGUUAUGGGGAGGAAAGUCCGAACUCCAGAGAGCAGUGCGCCGGGUAACUCCCGGUCAGGGUGACCUGAAGGAAAGUGGCACAGAAAAGAUACCGCCCAGUCCGGCCCGUCAGGGCGGGGCUGGGUAAGGGUGAAAUGGUGCGGUAAGAGCGCACCGCGUUCACUGUGAGGUGAAUGGCAGGCUAAACCCCGCACGGAGCAAGACCAAAUAGAGAGGCGUUAUAGGGCUGCUCGUCCGAAGCCUCCGGGUAGGUCGCUUGAUCUCGCCAGUGAUGGUGAGGCUAGAGGAAUGGUCGUCACCUGGAACGUACUUUCGGUGCGGAACCAGACACAGAAUUCGGCUUAUCAUCCCUCUGCGGCG
rnacentral:RNase_P_RNA from 1 species